rnacentral:rRNA from 1 species
GGGUCAGUAGGUUGGUCGUGCCACCGGUACGUACUGGUCUCACUGAUUCCUCCUUCCUGAAGAACCGUAAUGCCAUUAAUUUGGUGUUGCGGGGAAACAGGACUGUUACUUUGAAAAAAUUAGAGUGUUUAAAGCAAGCUAACGCUUGAAUACAUUAGCAUGGAAUAAUGAAAUAGCACGAUCGAUCCUAUUUUGUUGGUUUCUAGGAUUGACGUAAUGAUUAAUAGGGAUAUGGG